GGUUUUCCACACUGAGUAUUGAUUAAACUCUUGAGACUUAUACAUCUGAGAAAUUGGGUACUUGGUCCUUGUAACAGAACACACAGAAAGAAACCAACGAGAGACUCAGGUGAGGAGAAGAAGAAAAAAAUUCAAUUAUGAGCGUCAAUAAUUUCUACCCAAAAAUUCUAUGAACCUAAGUGAUUGAAAGUGGUGUAUUUGGUGCGCUGAAGUUGUCGAUGGAUAGGAAAUUUAAGAGUGAAAGAAAUGGAUUCGUAUGUUCUUACUGAUUGAAGGUUGAGGUGGCAGGUAACCUUGAUGUAAAUGGCGUUGAAUCUGCCGAAGGAGAGAUUAGUGUUUGGGUUGAGUAAGGUGUUUGGGUUGUGUAUAGGGAGGUAACUGACGGUACCUUCUUGUGGGAAGUUCUGUGUAUGUAGUUCUUAAAAGUGAUAUGGUAUUUUUUGGCUUGUAUGUAAAGUACUAUUUUAACUAUUGUAUAGUGUAUAAUUAUCUAUCACAAACACACCGUAUGUAAAUAGUUAGUAAUGUUAUGAAUAUAGCCAUGUUUGGAUCUAGGCCUGUUUACACUUAUGCUGAAGGUUUCAUUUUAAAGAAUUGAGGUUUU